rnacentral:lncRNA from 1 species
GUAACUACUGCAUACACAGCAAUUUUGGGACAGCCAGUGGCUCUGGAAGAGGAGCCAUCUAUGAAUAGUUGGUCAUCUGGAUUAGUGAGAGGCUCGGAGGAGACGUUAGGGAAGUGUGGUUGCAGGUGGUCUACAAUUUCAGUAUAGGAGUGGGAGGGAAGCAAGGAAGAUAUUGGAAUUAGAGAAGUGGGGUUAAGGGAACUUUUGGCAAGACAGAACUCAGGGUUGUCGAGAAAUAGAGCAUGAAGAAUCUGGAUGCGAGAUGGGGAGAGAACGCUUAAUAUUUGGAAGGAAAGCAGGUCUUGUAGAUUAUACGGACUGUGGAUGGUGGUGUCUUGACCAAAUAUUAGCUUUUUACUUUCUAAGGCCAGGGUGGCAGCUGCCACUAGAGCUCUGAAGCAGGUUGGCCAUCCUAGGGCAGUAAUGGUCUAGCUGUUUGGAAAGGUAGGCUAUGGGGGCAAAUGAUGGAGGACUUCCUUUUGCUUGGCCAAGGACACCAAGGGCUAUUCCUUGGUUUUCAGUUGUGUAGAGGGUGAAGGGCCAGGAAAUAUCAGGCAAAGAUAGGACUGGAGCACUUAUAAGGGCAGUUUUAAGUUUGUGAAAGCUAGGGCAUAUGUUGUGGGAGGGAUUUAGGGGCUCAUUUAGGGGACCUUUGGCUGCUUCAUAGAGAGGGUGGGCUAAGAGAAUGAAGUUGGGGAUCUAUAUUCUGAAAAAGCCUGCUAGCCCUAGGAAGGAAAGAAUUUCACUUUUUGAGGAAGGUGAAGAUAGGUUGUCUAUUAAGGCUGCUCGUGCCAGGGUCAUGGCUCGGGACCCAGGGGAGAGUUGAACCCCUAGGUAGGUCAUGGUAGGGGUAGAAAGCUGUGCUUUGGAGGUGGAGACCCUAUAGCCUUUAUCAGCAAGGAAAUUGAGAAACGUGGCAGUGUGGGUUUGGGAGUUUUUUAGGGAGGGGCUACAGAGGAGGAGGUCAUCUACGUAUUGAAGAAGAUGGCUAGGGGAAAGGUUUAAGGAGGCAAGGUCUUGGGCUAGGACUUGCCUGAAGAAAUGAAGGCUAUCCCUGAAGCCUUGAGGGAGAAUAGUCCAUGUGGAGAGUAGAAGAGAGGAUAAUAUAAAGAUCACGCCAAGUGAGUUUGUAAGAUUGGGUAAGGUAUUUGAACUCCUUAAUAUAAGUGUCGGGAUCAGAGAAAAAGGACUCCAGAUGUUUUUCAAUUUGGAAAUGGUCAGAGAGGGAGAAGGGAACAUGGAAAUGCAAAUGAUCCCUUCAGUCCCAGCCACCUCUCAAAGGAGUCCUCUCUUUCAGAUUGCUCUCAUGGAUCUUCAGCCAAGGCUAGAAAUCAAACCAUUCUAGGAUUCACCUGGAAGUGCUGGGAAAAUUGUACUGAAUUUGCUAUUCCAGGGAUAGCUCUGUCUUAGUCUGUUCUCACGCUGCUACUAAAGACAUACUUUCCUUAUAAAGGAAAGAGGUUUAAUUAACUCACAGUUCCACAUGGCUGUGAGGCCUCACAACCAUGGCAGAAAGCAAAGAAGGAACAAAGUCAUGGCGGCAGGCAAGAGAGCUUGUGCAGGGGAACUUCCCUUUGUAAAACCAUAAGAUCUCCUGAGACUUAUUCACUACCAUGAGAACAGUAUGGGGGAAACUGUCCCCAUGAUUCAAUCAUCUCUACCUGUCUGCACCCUUGACACAUGGGGAUUACUACAAUUCAAGGUGAGAUUUGGGUGGGGACACAGUAAAACCAUAUCAGCUCUUUACUCAUUCCAUGACUAUCUAUUAUAGUUAUCAUUUGUAAGCAGUAUCAGAGACACUAGGUAUUCAGUGACAACAGAAAAGAAAUCUUUGUGACCUCAUUGAGAUAAUCUUUUUAACAUGGAAAAGAAUGUAAAGUUGCAAACAAUUGAAUUGCAAAGGAAUUUUUCAGAUUUUGCUGGGAAGAUUUUUGGCUUAGUAUAUCUGAAAAUACCCACAUUUUCAAUUUAUUUUAAGAUAUAAAAUUUGUAGGUACUACUUUUGUGAUAUUUGACGCCAGAUACUUCCUUAUGGCAAGAUCUUUUCCUCUGUACCCCUAGUCCUUUGCUAAAGAGGGGAAUACAAGUUUCUGUAUUACCAGCCUAUAGUACUUGCGGGCCAAUGAGAAGUAAAAUGCAUUAAGUAGUUUAUAAUCCUGCAGUACCCCUUAAGGUUUCUUUCUUCUAUUAUAAUAUUAUGACACAAAUGUCUGGUAGUAAAUAGAUGUGCAAAUAUAGUGAAAUUAUUCUUGUUCUCUAAACUAUCUUAUAAUAAUUAUAUUUACAUAUCUUGUUCUUUCUGUGUUGGUCAGAUAGUUGAAAUGCAUAGUUGUUCUGAAAAAGGGCCUAUAAAUUAGGGAACUUUGAACAAAGAUGACAUCAGUAUUUUUUUUUAUAUGAUAGCAAUUUUAGUGGUUCAUUUCUGAAGAACUUAAUUUGUUUAGCUUAAAAACACAAGAUACUUCACUUAAAAUAUUUGUGAAAAUUAAGAGCAUCAUUAAAAUAAGCAUACUCUGUUGUUUUUGUAAAUAUCAAACAUAAAUAUGAAACAUGGCAGCUCUAUUUAUAAUUACAAAACUUGGAAGCAACCAUAUUGUUUUUCAAUAGGUGAGUGGAUAAACAAACUUUGAUAAAUCAUACAAUAUAAUAUUAUUUAGUGAUAAAAAGAAAUGAACCAAUAAACCACAAAAAGACAUGGAAGAAAAUUAAAUGUAUAUUACAAGGUGAAAGAAAUUAGUCUAAAAAGGCUAAGUACAGUAUGAUUCUCAAAUAUAUGACAUUAUGGUAAAUGCAAAAGAUAGUAAAAAGAUCAGACGUUUCCAGGGGCUUUGUGAAGAGGGUAUGAAAGGUGAGAGAUGGAACCCUGAGCAUUUUCAGGGCAAUAAAACUAUUCUAUAUGAUGCUGUACAGAUGGAUUUAUAACAUUAUACAUUUGUCACAGCUGUAGAAUGUACAACUUAAGAGUGAACACUAAUAUAAACUAUGGAUUUUCCUUGAUAAACUUGUAAUAAUACUGGCUCCUGAAGUGCAAAAAAUGUACCAUACUAAUGCAAGAUCUUGAUAAUAGGGGAAACUCUGUAUAUGUGUGCAUAUGUAUGUGCAUUGGGAGGAGAAUGUAUAUGGAAACUGUAACCUUUGCUCAGUUUUUUUUGAAACUUAAAACUAGUUUAAAAGAAU